ACGAACGCUGGCGGCAGGCUUAACACAUGCAAGUCGAACGCGUGUAGCAAUACACGAGUGGCGCACGGGUGAGGAACACGUGGGAACCUACCCUCCGGUUCGGAAUAACCCCGGGAAACUGGGGCUAAUACCGAAUGUCUCCUAAGGGAGAAAGAUUUAUCGCCGGUGGAGGGGCCCGCGUCCGAUUAGCUAGUUGGUGAGGUAAUGGCUCACCAAGGCUACGAUCGGUAGCUGGUCUGAGAGGACGAUCAGCCACACUGGGACUGAGACACGGCCCAGACUCCUACGGGAGGCAGCAGUGGGGAAUAUUGGACAAUGGGCGCAAGCCUGAUCCAGCCAUGCCGCGUGAGUGAUGAAGGCCUUCGGGUUGUAAAGCUCUUUUGGCGGGGACGAUGAUGACGGUACCCGCAGAAUAAGCCCCGGCUAACUUCGU
rnacentral:rRNA from 1 species